UCUACGGGGGGCAGCAGUGGGGAAUAUUGGACAAUGGGCGAAAGCCUGAUCCAGCCAUGCCGCGUGUGUGAAGAAGGCCUUCGGGUUGUAAAGCACUUUCAGUGGGGAAGAAAGCCUUGGGGCUAAUACCCUCGAGGAAGGACAUCACCCACAGAAGAAGCACCGGCUAACUCCGUGCCAGCAGCCGCGGUAAUACGGAGGGUGCGAGCGUUAAUCGGAAUUACUGGGCGUAAAGCGCGCGUAGGCGGUCUGAUAAGCCGGUUGUGAAAGCCCCGGGCUCAACCUGGGAACGGCAUCCGGAACUGUCAGGCUAGAGUGCAGGAGAGGAAGGUAGAAUUCCCGGUGUAGCGGUGAAAUGCGUAGAGAUCGGGAGGAAUACCAGUGGCGAAGGCGGCCUUCUGGACUGACACUGACGCUGAGGUGCGAAAGCGUGGGUAGCAAACAGGAUUAGAUACCCCAGUAGUC
rnacentral:rRNA from 1 species